rnacentral:rRNA from 1 species
UACGGAGGGUGCUAGCGUUGUUCGGAAUUACUGGGCGUAAAGCGCGCGUAGGCGGCUUUGUAAGUUAGAGGUGAAAGCCCGGGGCUCAACUCCGGAACUGCCUUUAAGACUGCAUCGCUUGAAUCCGGGAGAGGUGAGUGGAAUUCCGAGUGUAGAGGUGAAAUUCGUAGAUAUUCGGAAGAACACCAGUGGCGAAGGCGGCUCACUGGACCGGUAUUGACGCUGAGGUGCGAAAGCGUGGGGAGCAAACAGG